GAUGAACGCUGGCGGCGUGCCUAAUACAUGCAAGUCGAGCGAACAGACGAGGAGCUUGCUCCUCUGACGUUAGCGGCGGACGGGUGAGUAACACGUGGAUAACCUACCUAUAAGACUGGGAUAACUUCGGGAAACCGGAGCUAAUACCGGAUAAUAUAUUGAACCGCAUGGUUCAAUAGUGAAAGACGGUUUUGCUGUCACUUAUAGAUGGAUCCCCGCCGCAUUAGCUAGUUGGUAAGGUAACGGCUUACCCAUGCAACGAUGCGUAGCCGACCUGAGAGGGUGAUCGGCAACACUGGAACUGGAACACGGUCCAGACUCCUACGGGAGGCAGCAGUAGGGAAUCUUCCGCAAUGGGCGAAAGCCUGACGGAGCAACGCCGCGUGAGUGAUGAAGGUCUUCGGAUCGUAAAACUCUGUUAUUAGGGAAGAACAAAUGUGUAAGUAACUAUGCACGUCUUGACGGUACCUAAUCAGAAAGCCACGGCUAACUACGUG
rnacentral:rRNA from 1 species